GACGAACGCUGGCGGCGUGCCUAACACAUGCAAGUCGAACGAGGUCCAUGAGAGCUUGCUCUCAGAAGACCUAGUGGCGAACGGGUGAGUAACACGUGAGAAACCUGCCUCGGAGUGGGGAAUAACUCGGGGAAACUCGAGCUAAUACCGCAUAUCUUCACAUGAUCGCAUGGUCGAGUGAAGAAAGAAUUUCGCUCUGAGAGGGUCUCGCGGCCUAUCAGCUUGUUGGUGGGGUAACGGCCCACCAAGGCAACGACGGGUAGCUGGUUUGAGAGAACGAUCAGCCACACUGGGACUGAGACACGGCCCAGACUCCUACGGGAGGCAGCAGUGGGGAAUCUUGCGCAAUGGGCGAAAGCCUGACGCAGCAACGCCGCGUGCGGGAUGACGGCCUUCGUGGUUGUAACCGACUUUCUAGCAGGGACGAAAGUAGACGGUAACCUGUCAGAAGAAGCCCCGGCUAACUACGUGCCAGCAGCCGCGGUAAACUGU
rnacentral:rRNA from 1 species